CACGUAGGGGGCGAGCGUUGUCCGGAUUUAUUGGGCGUAAAGAGCUCGUAGGCGGCUUGGUAAGUCAGGUGUGAAACCCCCGGGCUCAACCCGGGGACGCCACCUGAUACUGCUAUGGCUUGAGUCCGGUAGGGGAGCGUGGAAUUCCUGGUGUAGCGGUGAAAUGCGCAGAUAUCAGGAGGAACACCAGCGGCGAAGGCGGCGCUCUGGGCCGGUACUGACGCUGAGGAGCGAAAGCGUGGGGAGCAAACGGG
rnacentral:rRNA from 1 species